rnacentral:rRNA from 1 species
UGAGGAAUAUUGCCCAAUGGACGCAAGUCUGAGGCAGCAACGCCGCGUGGGCGACGAAGGCCUUCGGGUUGUAAAGCCCUUUUCUGGGGACGAGAAAGGACGGUACCUCAGGAAUAAGUCACGGCUAACUACGUGCCAGCAGCCGCGGUAAUACGUAGGUGGCUAGCGUUAUCCGGAUUCACUGGGCGUAAAGCGCGUGCAGGCGGUUCCGUAAGUCGGACGUGAAAGCUCCUGGCUUAACUGGGAGAGGUCGUUCGAUACUGCGGGGCUUGAGGUCGGGAGAGGGACGUGGAAUUCCCGGUGUAGUGGUGGAAUGCGUAGAUAUCGGGAGGAACACCAGUGGCGAAGGCGGCGUCCUGGCCCGCACCUGACGCUAAGACGCGAAAGCGUGGGUAGCGAACGGGAUUAGAUACCCCGGUAGUCCACGCUGUAAACGGUGGAUACUAGGUGUUGGUGGCUAUCGUCAUCAGUGCCGUAGCUAACGCGUUAAGUAUCCCGCCUGGGGACUACGGCCGCAAGGCUA